AAUCCAUUUUUGAGCCGAAAGUAGUUAUUUUUACCGCGCGUAAUACAAAUAUAUACAAAAUUUGCGAACUUCACAGGGCUGUAUUUUUUUCGUUUUACAACAUUUAGCAACCAAUCUUUGCAGUUUUACUCAUUUUAAGACGCUCUUUCUAGCUGUGGUGUUGGAUUUCGUUCUUCGUGCCAGCUUGAUCAAAAUUUAGUCUUUAGCUGGAAUCACCCAUUCGUUCGAAUCAAUUUUGUAGAUAAAGUGGGCUUAGGGGUACUCAGGGACGGACCAUUAGAAAAGUGAUAUGGGGGUGGGGCAAAACCAAAAAAAAAAAUUAUUCCCAGAACAAAAUUAGGAAAAAAAAUCUUUCCAGGCAUAGUGCAAAAAAAAAUUCCUUGCUUGGAAGAUAGGCCUAUAAAUUUCACUUAAAGGUGAUCUACAAUCCGUAUGUAAACAAAGCCUUUGUUUACAUUUUUGUGUCCAAAAUAUUGAGCUUUAUUCGACACCUAUUUAUAUUUUCAAGCUUCUAGAGUAUAAUAUAUGAUCAAGAAACAACAAUCAG